AGCAUGCUGUAACCGCGCGAAGCGGGUUGUUCCAAGCGUUUGUCCAGCUCGGACAAACCACCUGGCUUUAGGCGAGUCUGAGACAUGAG
rfam:Paenibacillus sp. MSt1 Contig_33, whole genome shotgun sequence.